AUAUAUAUAUAUAUAUAUAUAUUGUGUCAGUCAGAAGGAUUAAGAGAGCAGGAGCUGAAUUGAGAUGAGAGAUGAAAAAAAAGUUGUAAUAAUUUAGUGGGCCCCACUAAUGAGACUUGUUGGCCACUUUUUCUAUAGCUUUGUUCACGUGGGUUUGGAGUAAGCUUUUGGUAUAAUGAUGUGAAGAUAUGGAGGAAGUCAUUAUUAUUUUUGACUUAUGAUUUUGAUAUUAUUAUUUCUUUAUAUAUAUAUAUAUAUAUAUAUUUUGUAUCAUGCCAAAUGGUGUACUUGGUGCAGAAAAAUAGAAAAGGUAGAAAGAAAAGAAUGGGAAUUCGUGGGUCCCACAAGUUGAUUUUCUUAGUUGGCUUCAUGUGGGUUUCUGAUAGAGUGUAUUUGAAAUAAAAAGAAUUGAAAAGAUAGGAAAGGAAGGAAAAUAUAAGGUUGAUAAGGAAAGUAUGGGUGGCGGGACCCAGUUGAAUUUUUUUGAAUUGAUAUUUGUGCAUUGCGUCGGUUCAUUUGGCUUAUAAAUUGAGAGUGUUGUGUGUACUGCAAAAUAAACAAAUAGAAUAGAGAAAAAUCAAAGAGUGAGAGCAGAGAUGGACAGUGAGGUCUGAGAGUUCACAGAGGGUCGAGAUUGAGGAGGGACAGAGUGUGAGCCGAGAGUCUGCAGAGGAGGCCGGAGGUUUGAGGACUUGGUGAUUUAGUGCGAGAAUUUUUUUUCAAUAUAUGUGCAUAUAUUGUGUCAGUCAGAAGGAUUAAGAGGAGCAGAAGCUGAAUUGAGAUGAGAGAUGAAGAAAAAGUUGUAAUAAUUUAGUGGGCCCCACUAAUGAGACUUGUUGGCCACUUUUUCUAUAGCUUUGUUCACGUGGGUUUGGAGUAAGCUUUUGGUAUAAUGAUGUGAAGAUAUGGAGGAAGUCAUUAUUAUUUUUGACUUAUGAUUUUUGAUAUUAUUAUUUCUUUAUAUAUAUAUAUAUAUUUUGUAUCAUGCCAAAUGGUGUACUUGGUGCAGAAAAAUAGAAAAGGUAAAAAGAAAAGAAUGGGAAUUCGUGGGUCCCACAAGUUGAUUUUCUUAGUUGGCUUCAUGUGGGUUUCUGAUAGAGUGUAUUCGAAAUAAAAAGAAUUGAAAAGAUAGGAAAGGAAGGAAAAUAUAAGGUUGAUAAGGAAAGUAUGGGUGGCGGGACCCAGUUGAAUUUUUUUGAAUUGAUAUUUGUGCAUUGCGUCGGUUCAUUUGGCUUAUAAAUUGAGAGUGUUGUGUGUACUGCAAAAUAAACAAAUAGAAUAGAGAAAAAUCAAAGAGUGAGAGCAGAGAUGGACAGUGAGGUCUGAGAGUUCAUAGAGGGUCGGGAUUGAGGAGGGACAGAGUGUGAGCCGAGAGUCUGCAGAGGAGGCCGGAGGUUUGAGGACUUGGUGAUCUAGUGCGAGAAUUUUUUUUCAAUUUUCAGGUACCGAAGAUGAACAAGAAUUGCUAGAUUUGGGUUUAGGCUGAAGAGUCGGUGUUGCAGGAUUUAGUUUAUUUUAUUUGGAGAAUUUUUGUAUAUUUGAGGAAAUGACUGUGUACAAAAGAGGGCAUUUAUUUUGUGAUCCUGGGUGUAUUUUGAUGUACUUGGAUUUGUAUAAAUAGAAGAUUUUAUUAGAAUUUUCGGGUCGUGACAAAAUGGUAUCAGAGCUUGUACCCAGCCGGAAGUAUGAGUGUAAUGAUGUUGUAGACGGGUGUGAGUGGGCGAGUGUGUUGUACUGGCGAGCUACCACUCGUAGCCGGGUGUGUGUGGGCGGAUGGCGGUCAUUGGCAGCCACUGGGAUGGUUGGUUAGUGUGGUUGGGCAGGUAGCCCAGAUUUGUUGUUUUUUUUAAUGGGUAAGCGGGUGACGCAUCGACUAGUUACCACAACAGUUAUGGAGUGUAUGGGCGGGUGACUAGCACUGGCAGCUACCAUAACGUCCUACAUAUCACUGUAUCUCACAUCGCCUGGGGUAAGGAUUUGGAUUUUGGUUUUGUGAUUGUUGGUGUUUUUGGGUGCACAAACUGUUGGAUUUGAAUUUCGAGGACGAAAUUCUUUUUAAGUGGUGGAGAUUGUGAUGACCCAAAUUUUUAGGAUUUUAAUUUAAUUAUUUUAUGAUGUUUAGAUUGUCUAAAUUAAUUAAUUAUUUAUUAAAAUUAGUAGGUUUUGAAUUUUGAUUUAAUUUUGUUCUCUAUAUAAAUAUUUAUGUGUAUUGUAUUUAUGAUGGAGGUAGGAAAUGGAAAGGAGUAGUGGUUUAGCCGAGUUUACUAGAAAGAGAGAAAAAUUGUGAUGAUGUUCUGCGGGGGAGUUGUUUUGCCAAUCUUUUGUACUUUUGAUUUCUUCACAUGGGUAUUAAUUUGUUUUUAUAUUACAUUUAUAUAUAUAUAUAUAUAUAUAUAUAUAUAUAUAUAUAUAUAUAUUGUGUCAGUCAGAAGGAUUAAGAGGAGCAGAAGCUGAAUUGAGAUGAGAGAUGAAGAAAAAGUUGUAAUAAUUUAGUGGGCCCCACUAAUGAGACUUGUUGGCCACUUUUUCUAUAGCUUUGUUCACGUGGGUUUGGAGUAAGCUUUUGGUAUAAUGAUGUGAAGAUAUGGAGGAAGUCAUUAUUAUUUUUGACUUAUGAUUUUUGAUAUUAUCUAUAUAUAUAUAUAUAUAUAUAUAUAUAUUUUGUAUCCUGCCAAAGGGUGAACCUGGUGCCGAAAAAUAGAAAAGGUAGAAAGAAAAGAAUGGGAAUUCGUGGGUCCCACAAGUUGAUUUUCUUGGUUGGCUUCACGUGGGUUUCUGAUAGAGUUUAUUUGAAAUAAAAAGAAUUGAAAAGAUAGGAAAUGAAGGAAAAGUUAGAGUUGAUAAGGAAAGUAUGGGUGGCAGGACCCAGCUAAAUUUUUUUGAAUUGAUAUUUGUGCAUUGUGUCGGUUCAUUUGGCUUAUAAGUUGAGAGUGUUGUGUGUACUGCAAAAUAAACAAACAGAAUAGAGAAAAAUUAAAGAGUGAGAGCAGAGAUGGACAGUGAGGUUUGAGAGUUCACGGAGGGCCGAGAUUGAGGAGGGACAAAGUGUGAGCCAAGAGUCUGCAGAGGAGGCCGGAGGUUUGGGGACUUAGUGAUCUUGUGCGAGAAUUUUUUUUCAGUUUUCAGGUACCGAAGAUGAACGGGAAUUGCUAGAUUUGGGUUUAGGCUGAAGAGUCGGUGUUGCAGGAUUUAAUUUAUUUUAUUUGGAGAAUUUUUGUAAAUUUGAGGAAAUAACUUUGUAUAAAAGAGGGCAUUUAUUUUA